rnacentral:rRNA from 1 species
UCGAGAAUCUUCGGCAAUGGGCGCAAGCCUGACCGAGCGACGCCGCGUGGAGGACGAAGGCCUUCGGGUUGUAAACUCCUGUCGAGGGGAAGGAAGGGGCCGAAAGGCCCUUGACCGCUCCCUGGAGGAAGCACGGGCUAAGUUCGUGCCAGCAGCCGCGGUAAGACGAACCGUGCGAACGUUAUUCGGAAUCACUGGGCUUAAAGCGCGUGUAGGCGGGUCGGUGCGUCGGCCGCUGAAAUCCCCCGGCUCAACCGGGGAAGGGGCGCCGAUACGACCGGCCUGGAGCGACGUAGGGGGAACUGGAACUUCCGGUGGAGCGGUGAAAUGCGUUGAGAUCGGAAGGAACGCCCGUGGCGAAAGCGAGUUCCUGGACGUCGGCUGACGCUGAGACGCGAAAGCCAGGGGAGCGAACG